rnacentral:rRNA from 1 species
GAGAGUACCUGAAGAAUAAGCACCGGCUAACUACGUGCCAGCAGCCGCGGUAAUACGUAGGGUGCAAGCGUUAAUCGGAAUUACUGGGCGUAAAGCGUGCGCAGGCGGACUUUUAAGCCAGAUGUGAAAGCCCCGAGCUUAACUUGGGAAUUGCGUUUGGAACUGGGAGUCUAGAGUCUGUCAGAGGGGGAUGGAAUUCCACGUGUAGCAGUGAAAUGCGUAGAGAUGUGGAGGAACACCGAUGGCGAAGGCAGUCCCCUGGGAUAAGACUGACGCUCAUGCACGAAAGCGUGGGGAGCAAACAGGAUUAGAUACCCUGGUAGUCCACGCCCUAAACGAUGUCUACUAGUUGUUGGGGUAGCAAUACCUCAGUGACGCAGCUAACGCGUGAAGUAGACCGCCUGGGGAGUACGGUCGCAAGAUUAAAACUCAAAGGAAUUGACGGGGG